AGUGAACGCUGGCGGUAGGCCUAACACAUGCAAGUCGAACGGCAGCACAGUAAGAGCUUGCUCUUACGGGUGGCGAGUGGCGGACGGGUGAGGAAUACAUCGGAAUCUACUUUUUCGUGGGGGAUAACGUAGGGAAACUUACGCUAAUACCGCAUACGACCUACGGGUGAAAGCAGGGGAUCUUCGGACCUUGCGCGAUUGAAUGAGCCGAUGUCGGAUUAGCUAGUUGGCGGGGUAAAGGCCCACCAAGGCGACAAUCCGUAGCUGGUCUGAGAGGAUGAUCAGCCACACUGGAACUGAGACACGGUCCAGACUCCUACGGGAGGCAGCAGUGGGGAAUACUGGACAAUGGGCGCAAGCCUGAUCCAGCCAUACCGCGUGGGUGAAGAAGGCCUUCGGGUUGUAAAGCCCUUUUGUUGGGAAAGAAAAGCAGCAGGUUAAUACCCCGCUGUUCUGACGGUACCCAAAGAAUAAGCACCGGCUAACUUCGUG
rnacentral:rRNA from 1 species